rnacentral:rRNA from 1 species
UACGUAGGGGGCAAGCGUUGUCCGGAAUUAUUGGGCGUAAAGCGCGCGCAGGCGGCCUUGUAAGUCUGUUGUUUAAACUCGGGGCUCAACCCCGAGUCGCAAUGGAAACUGCAAAGCUUGAGUACAGAAGAGGAAAGUGGAAUUCCACGUGUAGCGGUGAAAUGCGUAGAGAUGUGGAGGAACACCAAAGGCGAAGGCAGUGUCCUGGGGAGUACCUGACGCUCAGGUGCGAAAGCCAGGGGAGCGAACGGG